UCCCUUAGUAACUGCGAGUGAAGUGGGAAAAGCUCAAAUUUAAAAUCUGGCAGAUUUUGGUCUGUCCGAGUUGUAACCUAGAGAAGUAUAACUUGCUCUGGACCAUGUACAAGUCUCCUGGAAUGGAGCAUCAUAGAGGGUGAGAAUCCCGUCUUUGACAUGGACUCCCAGUGUGCUGUGGUUGUACACUCAACGAGUCGAGUUGUUUGGGAAUGCAGCUCUAAAUGGGUGGUAAAUUCCAUCUAAAGCUAAAUAUUGGCAAGAGACCGAUAGUGAACAAGUACCGUGAGGGAAAGAUGAAAAGAACUUUGGAAAGAGAGUUAAACAGUAUGUGAAAUUGUUGAAAGGGAAACAUUUGAAGUCAGAUAGGUUGGCUGGGGAUCAAGCUGGCUUAACUAGCUGGGUGUAUUUCC
rnacentral:rRNA from 1 species